CACACGAUGGACCCCGGUGGUCCCUUCGGCAGGGUCACGUGCUGCUGCUGUGAGACACUCACCGGCUCGUCCAUCUGCUCCUGCUCCGAGUAGUUAUCGUAGUCGCGGGGGCUGAAGUCGCUGGCGAGGUUGGUGUAGAGAAGCGUCAAGGUCCAGUACUUCACAGAGAGACUGGAUGGACCCGGUCAUAUGGAAACGGAUCAACCCGGACGCGUCUCAAACGACCGUAAAGGCGCAACAUUACAGGAAGACGCACGAUCGGCCUUCAAAGUAAAACGCCUUCGUUCGACCGAGCGCUUUUUGAGACGCUUUCUGGAGGAGGGAAUGUGGGCGUUCCCGUUGUGCCAGAGGAAAUCCCACUGAAUGACUCCUGGAUUGCAGUUUCUCUUCAUUCCAUUAUCCAUGUUACGUACUGCUGAUCAGUCUGCUGAGUGAAAUGCUGAAAUCUAUAAUAAAGUACAAAGU